rnacentral:lncRNA from 1 species
CAGGGGUUAAUUUCAACGAAAUUGGCACUUUUAAGGACUCAAUUGGAAAGUUUUAUAAGAACGGGACCAAAAUGGGAAGACCUUAUGAAAAUAGGGACGCCUAAGUGGUUUUAACCUUACUACAUCCAAAAUGGAUAUGAAUAUGCAACUUUUAACAGGCUUAAUAAUACAACAAAGAGACAAAUCCAGUAUUCUUAUAAAAACGUAGGCAGGUUUCUAACAAUCAUCAUUGAAGACCGACUCCAAAAGGUAUAUUUUCUUCAAAAGUCAGUUAACUACUUCAAAGAAAAUAGAAAAUUUAAGAGGCAUGUAAAUUCGACUGACUACAGAAUUGCUUAUAUAAGGUAGGAACGGAAAAACUUCAAGACAAUGAUCUAGUUGACUACGCUCAAGGUGCAACCAAAAGUCCCGUUAUCUUAGUAGCGUGAUGGCAAUGCAAUACAUCAUUCAAAUCAUAUAUAAAACCAGGAUAAAUAGCUAAGUUGAAUUAAAAAUAUAAAUAAUGCACACACAAAUGUGUAAAAACUAAGGUAUUUGGGGCAGAAAAUUUUCUUCAACAGUUUUCACGAGCAAAGUAUCAAUGGUAAGCUGCAGCUUCGUCUCUGAAAUGUUUAAGUAGGUUCNCUAUACUCAUAACGUUAUGAUCUCCCUUGNCUCUAACUCGCACACUUACCUAGAAUCACAAAUCAACUCAGCUUUCCACAGGUAGUAAAGAGAAUCAUCGAAAGAUAGCUCUACAUGAUCCAUAAACAAUGGAGCAACAAAUGGGCGUAAACACUGAUGUAUAACAUAUUUUACUGAUGAAGAAAUGAAAAGCAAAUUAUAUUUGGUCCAAUAACAUAAUGAUGUUAUACUAUUAAUGUANUUAUAACUUCUCCAGACAGAUCAGAGACCANUGGCACCUCUUAAGAGAUAAUGCUGAAGAAAGCCUCCAAGAUUAGUAGAUGAUGCAACCUUAAUCACAAUUCUCAGAAAUGUAGCUCAGGCAUACUUGAGCUAAAAUGAGGAAAAAUUAUUAGGUGGUUUUAAAUUAAUAUUUAAAUAACAUAUGACAAAUUGUAAAAUUCGAAUGUAUUAUAUAUAGAUAUUUGCCGGAUUAGGAAUAUGGGUACUUGGCGUUCUACUUCAUAAUUUCACCAAAAUGAGAGAUACUAGCAUCCUUUAGCUCUUCGAAUUAAAAUCAAUCAAGACAAAGCUUAAACAGUCUUAACCAAGCUAGUAUCCCUAGCCCAACCUUGUCUUGUUCUGUAGACCAGUCUUUCAAUCUCAACCCCUUCCCUUUCUAAAUUUGAAUGAUGCUAUACAUUUUGCACAUGGCAUGAGUGUAAAUGAAAUAUUGUGAUGAAAUUAUUUGUNCAUAGUUCAUANAAGCAAGCUUGCUUUCUCCUUUAGACACUUUUAAUUAAUCCAAACAUAAUUAUCCAAGUGUGAGAAAUUCAUUAAAAACUGUUUACAGUUGUUAGCAACCCUAGGNCAAACAAAUGUGAAAUGCAUAUGAGGAUAUGUCAAGAGAGAAAAGGACGAGAUUAUUUAUGAUAAGGGAAAAAUGAAGAACCUGUCCAGUAUUUGCUUCCUCCUCUCCGACAACCAAGAUGUAGUUGUAUUGAGCUAAUUGUGCUUCUCGUACCU